UCAGUAGUAAGAUAUUGUAGCGAUAUAAAUGUAAAACUUUUAAUUAAUUGAGUAUGGGAAUAUCAGAAAUGUUAGAUUAAAGUAGAUCUGUAGGGAUUUACCUAAAAAUAAUAAAGCUUUAAUUAAUUAAGUACCUUUUGUAUAAUGGUCUUUUAAGAGAGUUUGCUUUAUUAGCUUUUCCCGAAUUAAGUAGAUUUUUUAGAGAACGUAAAAGGUUUUCGAUGUGGGAAAUCUUUAGAUUUUUUAAAGGAUGUGAUAUGCAAUAACGAAACUUAAGAUAGCUGGUUAAGUGAUAAAUGCUUUUAAGUGCAGCUUUAAGCCGUUAUUUUUGAAGGUUAUAUUCUAAGAUUAAGUUUAAAAGUGAGAGAUUCAGCUAAAGGUUGAAUUUAGUCUUUCCUAGAAGUUUUUUUCUCAGCAAAGAAAAGUUGGAUUUACAAUGUCCGUUUUGAUAAAAGUAUUUAACAAUUCAUCUUUUGAUAUAAGAGAGGAAUUAUUGGUUUUUAGGAGAUUUGAAGAAUUACUUAACUGCUUGAGAUGGGUUCAAGUAGGUUUUCAUGAACAGAAUUAGUAAUA
rnacentral:rRNA from 1 species